UACGUAGGGCGCAAGCGUUAUCCGGAAUUACUGGGCGUAAAGGGCGCGUAGGCGGACAGUUUAGUCAGAGGUGAAAGCCCAGGGCUCAACCUUGGAAUUGCCUUUGAUACUGGCUGUCUUGAGUUCGGGAGAGGUGAGUGGAAUGCCGAGUGUAGAGGUGAAAUUCGUAGAUAUCAGGAAGAACACCCGUGGCGAAGGCGGCUCUCUGGGACGGUACUGACGCUGAGACGCGAAAGCGUGGGGAGCAAACAGG
rnacentral:rRNA from 1 species